GUGGAUGUGGUGCAUGGUGCACUGCUGCCUUCUAUAGUUGGAGUCGAUAUGAGUCAGUGAAGCAGCUCUGGGGUUCGAAUCCCCACGUCCACC